AUGUACCCCCAUUCUAAAAGUCCUUUUUAUAAAUUCUUCUUGAAGAUUUUGGGGCCCUCAUGCAGAGUUCUUUGUGCCUUAUUCUCCAGAAACAGAACUUCAGCAUCUAGAGAUUUCAAGGAAAUGGGAGCUGCUGAAACCACAGGAUCUGCUCGCGGGUUCCAAACACUCUGCACGGACAAUAUGACCACGUCCGUGUCCUCCUCCGACUCCUGUGAGGCCCUUUUCAUGGAGCCCAGGCCCUUCCCUGUUUCUCCCAGAGGAGGAAGUCCAAGGCAGGGUCUGCAUCUCCCUUGUCUUUGCAAAAACCCCACAACAGCUCUCCUGGAUGGUGUCUAAAGUAACACUUCUUGGUUGUUUAGUCUGGUUAUACGUGUUGCAAAUUCCCUAAUUCCUGUGGGGCUCACAGAGAGCUACAAACUUAUAAUAAAACUGCAAUGGAAAUUUCUGACUCUAUUUUUCGACUAUUACCAAAUCUUCUAAGGUUCUAAGACCCUUUGCUCUAAAGACAGAUAGAGAACCACUCUAAUACAAAACAGCGUUGGUUCUUCUCUCUCAAAGGGAAUUGGGACUGUUCGGAAAGUCCUGGAAAUUUGCUAUAUACUUUAAAAAUCUAAAAUGCCUUCCCAACUGGCACACUCAGGAUAUGAGGAAGCAAUGUCAUUGCAAAUCACUCCUGACCUACAUUUAAACUGAGUUACUUUGUUUAGGUUGAGUUUUCUCUUCGUGCCCACAGCAUCCUCAGAACCCUUGUCAUCAAGGCUUAGGUAGAAACCUCUGCUCUUCAAAUCGUGCCUUCCUUUCGGAUCUAGUUAAUUCUAGUCAGGAUUCUAGGAAGGCCUCCUUCUGAAGACAAUGCAAAAAUAAAAAGAGCGACAGACCUUCCUUUUGUUGACAGCUUUCCAUCAUUUUCAAAAUCAACUGUGAUUCAAACUUAAAAAAAAACCCAAGUUAGUGCCUGAUGACUCCCUAGACUCUGGGGCAUCAGGUAGUGCCAAAUUGAGAUUCCUCUGACAAUUUCUGAGGACAAAGAUCUUCAAGGAGGGCAGCUCUAGGGAGAGUUGAGUCAGAUCUGAAGUUGUGUCUCACAGACGCAGCAUCCACUGACUCCUGACUUUCAGUUUGUAUUUUAGACUCUUCCCAGGGGAUGGAGACAAGGAGCAUCCACUGACCCCUGACUUCAGUUCAUAUUUUAGAACUGUUCCCAGGGGAUGCAGACAAGGCAGUGAUCAAUCAGGAAACAGCCAAACACGUGCAGAUGGUUGAGAACAGCUCUCCUUGAAUCCCAGUCAUGGGAGGUGAGGAAUGAUCAUUCUUCUACAUAGUUCUAUUAAAAAAAGUGAAAUAAAAUUUGUUCUAUUUUGUUAGAGUUGCAGAAAUAAGAUGACAAACACAUCCUCAAUUGGGUUAAAAACCACACAGCUCUGUCAGCAAUGUUAACAUCAUUUACAUCAAGUUCCUUGGCUAAAUGAGCAAUUUCCAUAUGUCUAGUUUACAUGAGCUCAAUUGUAAGUGUGGUAGAAUUGGCAUCAAAUAAAUGGCGUGUGUUCAGAUCUGGUUUUGAUUACCAAGAUUUCUAGAGUAUGUUUUUGUGUUUAACUCUUUUUUGUAACUUUGCCAGUGAAUGUUUGUCUAACUUCUGCCUCAUGAGCCCUCAUUUUCAACUCCCUGACAUAUGUCUAUGCUUGCAAUUUGUAUCUUGUAGUCCUUGCCGGAGCCCCGCUGCUCAGGAACACAUGCCCUGAGGCAGCAUGCCUGCACAACUAGCUUCCAUCUGAAUGCUUCAGACAUGUGCUGCAUUCAGGCAAGACCCCUUUGGAUCUUCCCAAUUAGAGCAAAGUCGCUAGUAUUUAACUUCUAAUUUUACAAGUAACAGGGAUUUGCAAUUAGUAACAGACAUCAAGACGACUUGUGACUAGCAUUAUACAUGCCUAUUAAUUUCCACCCAUCUAUAAUUAAUUUUACAAUGGCU
ensembl:lncRNA